rnacentral:rRNA from 1 species
UACGUAGGGUGCAAGCGUUAAUCGGAAUUACUGGGUGUAAAGCGUGCGCAGGCGGUUUUGUAAGUCUGACGUGAAAUCCCCGGGCUCAACCUGGGAAUUGCGUUGGAGACUGCAAGGCUAGAAUCUGGCAGAGGGGGGUAGAAUUCCACGUGUAGCAGUGAAAUGCGUAGAGAUGUGGAGGAACACCGAUGGCGAAGGCAGCCCCCUGGGUCAAGAUUGACGCUCAUGCACGAAAGCGUGGGGAGCAAACAGG